CACCGGACUGGCCGUGGCAGGGCUGCAGGGUAGAGAUUGGGGCACAAUGAGCCAGUGACUUGGGGAGAGGGAGCCAGAGAGGGGCAGCACUGAGAGAUUCAGAGGGAGUGGCAGCGGGGGGCAGCAAGCACUAGAGGCUGGUUAGGGUUCGGCUGGGGGCGCAUUGGAGGCCAUGUAGGUGGGCUGGGGUGUUGGGUGCCUGUGACUGGUGGGUUGCUCAGCUGGAGGAGCUAAAGGCCCUGUUUGUUUCGGUUUCUGGCCAUCGGAAUCGGCUUUUGGCAGUCAAAAAAGUUUCUUUCUCAGUCCGCUUAUGUGAGAAUCACUUCUGUGAAAAUCGUCCAAAUCAACGUGAAUGCAGAAUCCGCCAAGUUGUCGUGAUGGGAGGAAUCUAUCGCUUCCUAAACUCUAAACCAUGCAGUCCCCUUCAUCUUCCUCCAUAUGUAAGCCCCACAAUAUCUAGAUUCUCGUGACAGCUAGAUUAUCCAGUAUCCAGAUUCUCAGAAAAGCUCUUCAAAAAAGCUGUCCCAAACAGGCCCCCGUUAGGAAACUUCUGCUGAGACCUGAGAGUACAGGAACCAACAAAAUGGAUUGUUGAGUAUUGUAUCCGAAAAAGGUUGCAAUGGAAUAUCUGCUUUGCCCGUAGAGUAUGCAGAGAAGGGGAAUACUAUGAAGAAAUGAUGCGCUACCUCCGAAAGAACCUUGCAUUAUACCCAUACCACCUUGCAGACUAUAUAUGCCGAGUGCUGAGGAUCUCGCCUUUCAGAUAUUAUUGUGACAUCCUUUUUGAAACUAUGAAGAAUGAACAACCAUAUGAUAGUAUUCCGAACUUCACUGCUGCUGAUGCACUAAGGCUCACUGGUGUUGGGAGAAACGAGUUUAUUGAUAUUAUGAACAAAUGCAGAUCAAAGAAACUAAUGUGGAAACUGAAUAAAUCGAUUGCAAAAGAAAUGCUGCCUACACAGCCUGUUGACUUCCCAGUUGAGCCUUGGUGGGGGGUUUGUCUUGUUAACUUUACACUGGAAGAGUUCAAGAAACUUUCAGAAGAAGAGACAACAACAAUAGACAAAAUAUGUAAAGAGGAAGCCAAUUCAUAUGUUCUUUUUGAUCCGAAGGUUAUAGAUGGACUUUAUAAAAGAGGGCUAGUGUACUUCGAUGUGCCUGUUUACCCAGAUGACCGCUUCAAAGUUUCUAGGCUUGAAAAUUUUGUUUCCAAUAAGGAUCAAUCAUAUGAAGACCCAAUUGAAGAGCUGUUGUAUGCUGUAUUUGUUGUUUCAAGUGCUAAUGCUACUGUUGCUGAACUGGCUGCAACUUUACAAGCUGACCUUUAUCAACUCCAGGCAGCUGCAUCAUUUGCUUGCCGAUUGGGCUGGGCUGCGAAAGUCAUGGAUGCGAACUCUGUUCUUAAUGAAGAACGUUUACCUGCGUUUCCUAGUAGUAUUCUUAGUGAUGAUGAAGAAGGUUCAAAUACAAGUAUCCACUCAGAGAAGUCUGGUCAACAAUUGAAUGGCAUGGAUUCUGAUGGACCCAGGAAAAUUUCUGGAACUGCUCAUGUGGGCUUUGUUGUUGAUGCCAAUGUUACAUCAUACUUGAUGAUGGGCUCACUAUCGCCAGGGUUAAAAUCUCAUGCUGUCACACUCUAUGAGGCUGGAAAACUGGGUGCUUCUUGCAUUGCAGAACUAUGUAGUGAUCUGGCUAGCUUAGAGGGAAAGAAAUUUGAGGGUGUGCUAGAGGAGUUUGCAAGUCAUGCAUUCAGUUUGCGAUGCUUCUUGGAGUGUUUACAGUCUGGCGGAGUUUCCGCAAAUGAAAUUACUGAUAAUACUAGUGAAGCAAAGACUCCAAGAAGCUCUGUUCAUGAUAUUGACAAUGCUGCUGACCAUUUGUCCAAGGUGAACAUUGAGGGUGUUGCUGACAAUAACCAUAAUGAAUUUUCCGAGCAUAACCAGUGCGUAGGUGAGUUAGAUAAUAGUGAUGGGAAUAUAGUAUCACCAGCUAUGGUUAUCUUGGAAAGUGUAGAAAGCAUGGUAAAAAAUGAUGACAAGAAUGAUUCAACUGUGCAGCUAAAUGUUUCAACUGAAUCUCGAGUUUUGAAGAACAAAAGGAAGUACAAAGUUGAUAUUCUUCGAUGUGAGAGCUUAGCCUCACUUGCCCCGGCUACAUUAGAACGGCUAUUCCUUCGGGACUAUGACAUUAUUGUGUCGAUGGUUCCUCUUCCUUCUUCAUCAGUUCUUCCAGGCCCUUCAGGCCCAAUUCAUUUUGGACCACCAUCUUAUUCCUCCAUGACACCUUGGAUGAAGCUAGUACUGUAUACAGCAGGACAUUGUGGACCAGUAUCUGCUGUGUUCAUGAAAGGGCUACGUUUUAGAUUGCUGCCUGAACCAUUAGCUGGUUGUGAGAAGGCACUGCUAUGGUCUUGGGAUGGCUCUGUGGUGGGUGGAUUAGGGGGAAAGUUUGAAGGGAACUUACUGAAGGGCAACUUAUUGUUACACUGCUUGAAUUCGAUGCUGAAACAAUCUGCUGUACUGGUGCAACCACUUAGUAUACAUGAUCUUGAUACGUCAGGAAACCUUGUCACUGUGGAUAUCCCUUUACCCCUAAAAAAUGAUGACCAGUCAAUUGAAUCUGUGGUAGCCCAAACUAAUUUGCCAAAGGAACAGAUAUUAGAUUUGACUUCUGUAUUGAAAGACCUAUCUAGUAAAUUUGAGCUGAGCACACUUGGCUACCUCCGUCUACUAAGACUUCACAGGAUAGAUGAACCAGAUAAAUUUGACCCAGAAAAUGUAAGCUACAAGUGGGUGCCUCUGAGCUUGGAGUUCGGGGUUCCUUUAUUCAGUCCAAAGUUGUGCGAGAAGAUUUGUGAAAGGGUGGUUGCAUCCCAUAUGCUUCAGAAAGAUGAUCUCAUUGAGCAUUCUGAUGUGAUGCAAAAUGUAAGAAGGCAGCUGAGAGAACUUUGCAGUGAAUAUCAAGCAACCGGUCCAGUAGCUAAGUUAUUUAACAAGCGUGGAAGCUCAAGGGACUCACCACGUGCCUUAAUCAAUAGUAUUAGUGGCAGAUGGAAUUUGUCUAAUGACCCUUCAACACCUAGUGGAGGAGCCCCAAGUGAACACGAGAGGCUGAAAUUUGUUGGAAGGCAGCGACCCCGAACAGAAGUUGUGAGCUUUGAUGGGAGCACUGUCAGGUCAUAUGCACUUGAUCCUGAGCACAAUGAAGAACAAUCAUCCAUACAAGACGUAAAACCAGAUCCAGAAGAAACAGACAGCAAGGAUGUAGUCUUACCAGGAGUAAAUCUUAUAUUUGAUGGAGCCGAAUUACACCCCUUUGAUAUUGCUGCAUGCCUUCAAGCACGUCAGCCUCUGUGGCUUAUAUCUGAGGCAUCAACUGCUUCAUCAACAUUACUAUGAGGGGUUAAUUAUGCUCCAAUUUCUACAAGUUGGCCGAUGAAAUUUCAUUAGUUGGGGUUAUUCAAAAGUAUUGUCUGAUUCUUAGAAGAACACAAUAGCGGGCUGAUGCUUUGUUCACUAUAACUGAGUUCUUUCACAGGAAUUAAUCAGAUGCUCCUGGUUAACUGGGAUGCGCGUUUUGAAGCUUGUUUACUGCAUCGUAUGUUUCUUGGCCAAUAUCUUACUCUACUUUUCACUUGUGUGAAAUUUCCAAGUGCGUGCUCCUACUUCAAUAUUGUGAAUCUUUGAGGCUCGUUCAGUUGAGAGGCUACAGGCUCGUUCAGGGUGUCAAUUUUACGUUUACACAUGUAGGUCUAGUUUGGAUAUUUUGGGAUUAGAGUGUUUUGGAGGGAUUGGAGAGGGUGUAAAUCCCUAAUAGAUCAAAUACUCUCUCAAUACAUCUCAAUCCAUUCCAAUCCCACUCAUUACUAGAGUACCUAAAUUAAGCCGUAGUAGUUUCAAUGUAGUUUUGGCAUAAAUAGCACAGCUUUCUUGUUUGCGGUGACCCCGUUCCCGUGGUUAGUAUAAAAGUGUUUUCGUUCUUUCUUCAAAAGGUGAAAUUCAAGUUUACAUUUAUAUUACCUUGAAGAAGCAUGUACAUACACUUCAGUACCUGUAAUGGUAGUAUUGCAAUGAUGCAGAUAUACAUCAGAAAUUCUUAAAGCA